rnacentral:rRNA from 1 species
GAUGAACGCUGGCGGCGUGCCUAAUACAUGCAAGUCGAACGCAUAGCGAAAGGUGCUUGCACCUUUCAAGUGAGUGGCGAACGGGUGAGUAACACGUGGACCACCUGCCUCAAGGCUGGGGAUAACAUUUGGAAACAGAUGCUACUACCGAAUAACACUUAGUGUCGCAUGACACAAAGUUAAAAGGCGCUUCGGCGUCACCUAGCGAUGGAUCCGCGGUGCAUUAGUUAGUUGGUGGGGUAAAGGCCUACCAAGACAAUGAUGCAUAGCCGAGUUGAGAGACUGAUCGGCCACAUUGGGACUGAGACACGGCCCAAACUCCUACGGGAGGCUGCAGUAGGGAAUCUUCCACAAUGGGCGAAAGCCUGAUGGAGCAACGCCGCGUGUGUGAUGAAGGCUUUCGGGUCGUAAAGCACUGUUGUAUGGGAAGAACAGCUAGAAUAGGAAAUGAUUUUAGUUUGACGGUACCAGACCAGAAAGGGACGGCUAAAUACGUG